rnacentral:rRNA from 1 species
UGGGGAAUAUUGCACAAUGGGGGAAACCCUGAUGCAGCGACACCGCGUGGAGGAAGAAGGUCUUCGGAUUGUAAACUCCUGUUGUUGGGGAAGAUAAUGACGGUACCCAACAAGGAAGUGACGGCUAACUACGUGCCAGCAGCCGCGGUAAAACGUAGGUCACAAGCGUUGUCCGGAAUUACUGGGUGUAAAGGGAGCGCAGGCGGGAAGACAAGUUGGAAGUGAAAUCUAUGGGCUCAACCCAUAAACUGCUUUCAAAACUGUUUUUCUUGAGUAGUGCAGAGGUAGGCGGAAUUCCCGGUGUAGCGGUGGAAUGCGUAGAUAUCGGGAGGAACACCAGUGGCGAAGGCGGCCUACUGGGCACCAACUGACGCUGAGGCUCGAAAGUGUGGGUAGCAAACAGGAUUAGAUACCCCGGUAGUCCUGGCCGUAAACGAUGGGUACUAGGUGUAGGGGGUAUCGACCCCUUCUGUGCCGCAGUUAACACAAUAAGUAUUCCACCUGGGGAGUACGACCGCAAGGUUGAAACUCAAAGGAAUUGACGGGGGCCCGCACAAGCAGUGGAGUAUGUGGUUUAAUUCGAAGCAACGCGAAGAACCUUACCAGGUCUUGACAUCCGAUGCAUAGCGCAGAGAUGCGUGAAGUCCUUCGGGACAUCGAGACAGGUGGUGCAUGGUUGUCGUCAGCUCGUGUCGUGAGAUGUUGGGUUAAGUCCCGCAACGAGCGCAACCCUUAUUGCCAGUUACUACGAAAGAGGACUCUGGCGAGACUGCCGUUGACAAAACGGAGGAAGGUGGGGAUGACGUCAAAUCAUCAUGCCCUUUAUGACCUGGGCUACACACGUACUACAAUGGCGUUUAACAAAGAGAAGCAAGACCGCGAGGUGGAGCAAAACUCAAAAACAACGUCUCAGUUCAGAUUGCAGGCUGCAACUCGCCUGCAUGAAGUCGGAAUUGCUAGUAAUCGCGGAUCAGCAUGCCGCGGUGAAUACGUUCCC